rnacentral:rRNA from 1 species
UACGAAGGGGGCUAGCGUUGUUCGGAAUUACUGGCGUAAAGCGCACGUAGGCGGAUAUUUAAGUCAGGGGUGAAAUCCCAGAGCUCAACUCUGGAACUGCCUUUGAUACUGGGUAUCUUGAGUAUGGAAGAGGUAAGUGGAAUUGCGAGUGUAGAGGUGAAAUUCGUAGAUAUUCGCAGGAACACCGGUGGCGAAGGCGGCUCGCUGGGCCGUUGCUGACGCUGAGGCGCGAAAGCGUGGGAGCAAACAGG